UCAUAAUCAAAACGAAUCGGUGUAGCGUUUCGCUGCUUAAAAGGGGAACUUGGUGUAAAUCCAAAGACGGUCCCGCCACUGUGACGUACAUUGUACGAAGUCAGAUUGCCUGCCGAAUCGUUCUGCUUAGC
rnacentral:ncRNA from 2 species